rnacentral:lncRNA from 1 species
UGAAGGAGACCAAGAACCAGGACUGGAGCCAGGAGAGAUGUUAGAUCAGAAGGACCGUGCUGUGUUUACUCAGAGGGUAAAGACGAAGUCAGUGUCACCAGGCUUCCUCCCUCCCCUCCACCAGGACUGCACAGUCAUCCUACAUGAACCAGGCUACAGGACACGGCCCAUGUCCACUCCCAUCACUGCAAAGGGACCACACGGCUUCUAAGGCCCAGAGCAGCUGGACAACUGAAGACUCCCUCCUGGCAAUCACGCCACACUGCUUAUUAUACUUAAUAGGGGAUAAGAUAAAGUGACGUUCUUUCUAGUCUCU